GUCUUAAACAUUCUCAAUUUAUUUCAAAAAUAUGCAAUGCAACAAACAAAUUACUUAGAAUUUCAAGAGAAGUUCCCUAGGAGACUCAAGGAAGUGAAAGAUGCCCAAGUUCACUUCCAAGAAAGGGAGGUGAAUCACAAAGGAUUGUUUAAGAACCAAGUCUUUCCUAGCCAAAGCUUAUCUUAGGUACUCUUACACCAAACUUCUCAAAAGGAACAAAAAUUGAAAUUAAAGUAAACACACACUAAACUACCAAUAUUAAGGAAAACAAUAAAUCUAAACUAUGCGGCCUAAUGAUGAAUUAGAAGGAACUUUGGUUCCCUCUUACCCACUAACUACAAAUUUCGCUUAAAUAAUAAAUGUCCAAUGUUCUUGUUAGGACAAACCCCUAACAAGUCAAAAAUACAUGUCCAAAAAGGAAAACAACUACAAUUUUACAAUUCAAAGAAAAUACAAACAAAUCUCUCUUUCUCACCAAGUGUAUACUCUCUUGUUUUGUGUUUUAGACCAAGACUUUAAGCUUCCCUUCAAGGCCUCCUUCAUCUUUGGAUGAUACUCACUGUUUUGGGCUGUCCUCCCCAUGAUCCUCACGUUUUUUUUACCAUCCAAAGACCUACACCACAAGUUAACACCACUAAAGUUAAAAGGAGUCCAAGGAGAAAGCAAGAAAAGGUCUAAAAUGAACAAAGGCUCUUCAAAAGGAGUUUUACUUUGACAAAACCAUGAAUAUUCAUAAGAAAAUCAAGCAAUUAAAUGGUAAGAAAGAAAGGUUAGCACAACAAAAGGAGUUACCUAAAGAAAGGCACUAGAAUAGAUCACAAAAACCAAAAACUACUAGAAAAUCAUAAGGUGCUUUUGUCCUUUGGCAAGCAAGAUCAAAUGGUGCAUUAAGGCAACCCUUUUUUUUUAGAUCAUCAUGGCUGCUGGAAUAGCAGCUUGGGGACAUAAAAAUCAGCUCCAAAUCAACACCAAAGUGCUCACACAAAGUUGGUUAAAGAUGGUACAUGCAUGUGCUUUUACUUUUACUUUUUGCUUUUGCUUUUUGUACUUUUUGUCUACUUUUUUCUUUUGUACCUUUUGUCUCUUCUUUUUCUUAAAUUUUUUUAUCACAAACACACACCAAAUCAAACCUCAAAUCUGGAAUGUUACAAGGAGUUUGAUGUUCAUACAAGCUUAUAGCACCAAAAUGAAGAAAACUUACUAGAAUCAAGUAUAGUAUGAAACACAAAAAGGGACAUAAUGGAAACCUAACUCUAAGAACUUGUUGAUGAUCUAACAACAAGUAUGAACUCAAAUAUGCAAAGAAAAAAGCACUCAAAGGUACUCAAAUGAAACAAUUUUGAAAUUUACUCAAACAUGUAUUUUUGGUGAUUUUUCAAAGGUUAAACAUGGAAGUAAAGACAUGUAAAGGACAAAACAUGACUCUAGACAACAUGGAUGGAUUCAAAAAUAAAAAUGACACAAAAUAAGCAUAUAAGACCAAACAACACAGCAAGGAAUGACUCAAAAGAAAGAAAAAGCACAAAAAAUUAGCCAAAACUACCAAAAACAAAUUUGAAAAAUGCUAAUGACAACAUCCUGGCAGCUUUGACCUUUGCUGAGUGUUUUACUUAUAACUUUCUGCAAAGAAAUGCAAAUGAAGUGAUUCUUUUUUUGUUGGAACCUACACUCCAAGGGCUUUCAUUUGAAUAUUUUUACGUAUUUUUUGGACAACUGAGAUAGAUGCAGUUUAAGUUUCAAAAUCGUUACAGUUUGCUGCNAGAACAAAUGAUAGAUGGAAAACAAAAACACAAGACAAGUANGGAAAAAAAACAUCAACAAUAUGGAAAAAUAAAGGAUAGAUAAGGACCAAAAGACUUAGCUCUUGAAGAACCAAAGCUCUGAUACCAAAUGAUGGCAACCUCCUUAAGCUAGGUCGGGCCAAAGCUUAGAAGGAUGCAAUGGAGGGGGGUUUCCUUGGAUGAAUGGUACAGAAAUGUGGUGGUAAAUGGUCCAAGGAUGAUGAGCUAUUGUAUGAAUGGUGUAGAAGCUCAAAGCCUCUAGGAGAUAUGGUGGUGGUGGUGUAGUGUUUGGUGGCUCCAAGAGNGGUUAGGCCAACUCAAGGAGGAAGGUGACUAGAGGGGCCUCAUGGGUUGCUCUAGUCUUGAUCUAAGAUGAGUAGUAUGGCAAAAAAUGGGAAGCAUAAAAUUAC
rnacentral:lncRNA from 1 species